UCCUACGGGAGGCAGCAGUGGGGAAUAUUGCACAGUGGGGGAAACCCUGAUGCAGCGACGCCGCGUGCGGGAAGAAGGCCUUCGGGUUGUAAACCGCUUUCAAUUGGGAAGAAGAGAUGAGUGCUAAUAUCACUCUGAUUUGACGGUACCUUUAGAAGAAGCACCGGCUAAUUUCGUGCCAGCAGCCGCGGUAAUACGAAAGGUGCAAGCGUUGUUCGGAUUUACUGGGCGUAAAGAGAUCGUAGGUGGUUUGUUAAGUCGGAUGUGAAAUCCCGGGGCUCAACCUCGGAACUGCAUUCGAUACUGGCAGACUAGAGUUUGGGAGGGGUAAGCGGAAUUCCGUGUGUAGCAGUGAAAUGCGUAGAUAUACGGAGGAACACCUGAGGCGAAGGCGGCUUACUGGACCAAUACUGACACUGAGGAUCGAAAGCGUGGGUAGCAAACAGGAUUAGAUACCCUGGUAGUCCACGCCCUAAACGAUGUCUACUAGCCGUAGCGGGUAUCGACCCCUGCUGUGGCGAAGCUAACGCGAUAAGUAGACCGCCUGGGGAGUACGGUCGCAAGAUUAAAACUCAAAGGAAUUGACGGA
rnacentral:rRNA from 1 species